AGGGAGAAUGAAAAGAAUGGGCAGCCUAGUGGUUGCUCAGGUGAGCGCAGGUACACAGACCAGGAAGUAUCUCUGCUCCUAACCUCUCUUUAUGUAUGCAUGAAGCUAAUUGUUCAAGUCCAGGGGAAACUGGUGAGACAGGUAGUCCUCAUCCUCCUGGCCCCCAAUCUCCACUGCAUCAGAGACACCUGGACUUGGGGUCAGGUCUGGGGAGAAGCAGCAGCUGGACACGUUGCUCAAGCACCUUUCAGAUAAUGGGGGUGAGGAGACGGAGUUUCACCAUGUUGCCUGAGAAUCAUGUGAUCCUCCCAGCAAUUUGAAUGGACACAAAACUAUGUUUGAAAUAUACAGCAAGAUGGCCACCUGCAAACCAGGAAGAGAGCCCCUACCAGGCUGGUACCUUAAUCUUAGACUUCUCAGCCUGCAGAUUUGUGAGAAAUAAAUGCUUGUUGUUAAAGCCACCUAA
rnacentral:lncRNA from 1 species